rnacentral:misc_RNA from 1 species
GAUGAAGACGUAGCGAAAUGCGAUAAGUAAUGUGAAUUGCAGAAUUCAGUGAAUCAUCGAAUCUUUGAACGCACAUUGCGCCCGCCAGUAUUCUGGCGGGCAUGCCUGUUCGAGCGUCAUUACAACCCUCAGGCCCCCGGGCCUGGCGUUGGGGAUCGGCGGAAGCCCCCUGCGGGCACAACGCCGUCCCCCAAAUACAGUGGCGGUCCCGCCGCAGCUUCCAUUGCGUAGUAGCUAACACCUCGCAACUGGAGAGCGGCGCGGCCACGCCGUAAAACACCCAACUUCUGAAUGUUGACCUCGAAUCAGGUAGGAAUACCCGCUGAACUUAAGCAUAUCAAUAAGCGGAGGA